AGCGGUGAAGUAAGGUGUUGUGCCGACAAGCAGUGCCUUAUCAGUUCCAUAAGGGUUUGACAUUUACCGCCAGUCGGCUAGAUUGCUAACAAUCAAAAGAAAAUGUC
rnacentral:sRNA from 1 species